CAUGACUCAGACCACUUACCUUAAUCAUGACUCAAAGUCCUGACUGUAUUUCCUGAAUUGUGACUCGCAGCACUGUCUCCUGAAUCCUGGCUGUGUGCUGUUGCUUGCUGUAGAAUUCCAAACAUCUCUCUCUUCUCUGAGCUCAUCUCAUCCUUCACAUGUUUAUCUACGACGUGGUAUUUAUAAUCGAAUCCACCUCAAACCCCCGCAUGAGAGGAGGACCAUUUUCCUGCUGCUCUGCUGUCAGCUCUCAUUUAGCUUCAUUCGGCUGGGAUUGAGCUGCAGCUCAUCCAUCAUGGCGUCUGUCCCAGAAUGUCCGCAUUCGUCUGGAUGACUAGAUUUAACCUGCAGGAGGUUAAUAUUUAGUGAGCUGUGAGUGCAACGCUGUCACUUCGGGCGAACGCAGAGACAGUUCAGGUAUCAGAGUCAGAGCAGAGACUUCCUGCUUAUGAUCAACACUUCCUGCUUCACACACUUACUGCAGUGUUCCUGCUUCCUGUCUCCACAUCUGCCGCAUCUGUCUCCACAUCUGUUCAGUUUGUUAUUGAGUUCUGGAUUGUGAUUGGUCAGAAGCAGGUAAUUGUUUAUAUGAUGAAAUUUUCUGCAAGGAGAAAGUAUGGAUCAUUUAUGGAAGGAGUCUCCAGCGUCAGAGCUGUGUAACACUCAGCGGUAAAGCUGUAACUCUUCAGGACAGAGGAGUUUAAGCUUCUUUGUGGUUUCUUGUAAGGAGACUCUGCACAACGAGCCAGCCGCCUCCUCAGUUUGGACCACAGCCAUCAUUUUACAUAAGAGUGAAGUGCCAGUGUAAUAAGCAGUUUGCAGAUGAUAACAUCCUACUAGGUCUCAUAAAGGACAAUAACGAGUCUGCCUACUACAGGGAAGUAGCAGCCUGAUUCAUAGCCUGGUCUGAGAACAACAACAUCUCAAACACUUUUCAAGACAUUUUGGAUGUGUUUCAAGUUCCACAGAAGCCAACCAUCAAACCCACUUCUGUCCAUCAACAGCACCACUGUAAGAACUGUCGAAUCUUUCUGAUUUCUGGACUCCACCACUAUGUACACACGUUAAAUCGGAGGAUUACAUCACAUGCAUAGUCAAGAAGGGACAAUGGGGGAUGUUCUUUCUGAGGCAGUCGAAGAAACAGUGUACCUCAGCCAAUAAUGGUUCAGUUUUAGCCAUCAUUGCGAGCAUCCUUACAUCCUCCAGCACUGUGUGGUUCAACCCAAGAAAGUAUUACAAUGAGUAAUCUGUAAUGCUGAGAAGAUCAUCAGAUGCCUUCUCACUCCCAUCAUCAAACUGCUCAUCGCCAAAGCAAUGACAUAGCACCAGAAAUUGUCUAAUCACCCAUUUCAGAAGCUCCCACCAGGCAGGCUCUACUGAACCAUCAGCAGCAAGAGAGCUCAUCACCACAGCAGAUUCUUCCCUUGUGCUAUCAACCUCAUCAACCAAGACCAAUGAUGUGUUCUGGGUUCUGGACUGAUACUUACUCAUGCCGUGCAGUUUAUCGUGUAUCAUUUAUUAAUACUAUAUCGUAUUAGACUUGUGCAAUACUGAAACAGCGCAGUUCAUAUUAUGCACCUUGUAUGUACAAGUUCUGUUGUCUGUGAACUUGCAAAGUCUGAUCUGUCUCCGUAUCUUCACCUGUGGCACUGUUCCAUGCGUGUACAUCAAUUUGUGACGCGUUCAGUUGUAUGUUAGAUGUCCACAGCAGCCAUUAUUCCGACUCAUGUCCGUGCAUCUCUGAUCACACUGUAUUCUGAUUCCUAUAUGGUUACAUGGAUAAUACAACAAAACCGAUGAACAACAGACUGAACAAAAUCAAAAUAAACAAGCAGAGCACUAUGCUCUGUGAACUGCAAUGCACCCUGGGAGGGGUAAUUCAUGACACGCACAACUGCACAUUGAUGGACAGCGGAGGCCAGAUACGUACAUUUCAGGGAGGUUGCCAAGCAGUAAGCAAAGAUAAAGAGAGAACAAAUCGAUAAAGAUGCUUUGGCGGAAACCUGGGUUGAGGAGCGUCUGAUAUCUUAUAUGUGAUAGUGCUCCAUUUCACAUUAGAGAUUGAUCAUAAACUCUUACUGUCAGUCUUGGGCACUAAAAUCGAGGUAUGACUUUAUGCAUCUGAUAGGACUUUGGAAUUUACACUCUAAUGUACAUUCUUAGAGUAACGGGUUCCUCAAGAGAACUUCAGAUAGUUCUGAGUUCCUUAAUGGGAAACUAUCUGUUAUAGGGUUCUGCAUAAAACCUUUAAGGGUUCCUUCAGGAUUUGGAGGAAGCAGGGCAAAGCUACAGCUAAUCCAAUGUUUACAGAAAAGGGACGCUAGAUAUGAUAUAACUCGGCCAUGAGUUAGUGAGUUUGUGAUCAAGCGUAACUCCACACAUGGAUCAUGUAUGAGCGUUAAUCAGACGUUAUGAUGUUUUGGAAAGGGUUACACAGUUAGGGUGUAUUUAGAUAAGGCUAAAUCUUUAGAUAAGAUUUUAGUGUUGUGUACUGUAUGUGUACAUUGUGCAUUUGGAAGCAGAUGUUUCAUACUCAUAACUGGUGAGCUGAACUGACUCCCACCAGGCCUAAUGGAGCGUUUCAUACCCGGCUGUCAGAGUCAGUGGACCUGAUUCCUGCUCCAGGCUUCUUCUCACAAACGUGUGUGUGUGUGUGUGUGUGUGUGUGUGUGUGUGUGUGUGUGUGUGUGUGUGUGUGUGUGUGUGCAACAAAUGAUGCAAGAACAAUGUGAACAUUAUCCUCAGCAUGGUGUGUGUUGUUUGAUGUGUGUGCGCUGCCUCAGGACUGUGUUCAACAAUUAUAUACACAAACACAAACCCAUCAUACAAUACAACACAAGUUCCAACAUCUGGAUGAGAGAUGUUUCUCCUAACUGGCCUUCCUACAGAAAGCUGACAUUUUCAC